rnacentral:lncRNA from 1 species
AUGGGGCAUGCGCAGGAAGGGAACUGGGAACGGCACAGUGUAACUGUCCUGGGGCGGUGCCAUCCAGGGUCUACAACAGAUGGCAUCUGUUUGACUGUAAUCUGUGGAGGAGAAAGGGCUAUCUUCAGAGCCCUGCAGAUAACCGCUGCUCUUGUGAUAGCAACACAGAAGGACCCACACUAUCUAAACUUAAUUCUACCAGUUCAGAUUCCAGAGAUAUGAAUGAGGCUCCUGAGAUGCUGGCAGCCACUUUGUGAUCAUGAGGGGAUCCCACAGAGCAGAGGCUCAGAAGCAGAACAGUAUCUAGUCCACAGCAAAGUGCUGGAUGGAACUGCACCAGGGCACAUUGCUCACCUUUAUGUGAAGCUACAAGUUGCCUUUAUUUUCUAAAAACUGGUGUGAGCCCUGUUUUCUCCCACAUGCAGUAGAGAGAUUUCCAGCUGAAAGCAAUGAGGAACUUGUUUUGUGUAUCACUGAGAGGCACUCGAAAGGAUUUUUAGGAAUGCAUUUGUUUGUGAGGAAGAAAAAGUGCAAGGAAAUCUUAGAGUUAUUUUCACAUAUAGCAUGAUUCAUUUCCUGCUUAAUGUCCUCAUUUUUCAUUCCACUGGUGGAAACACCCCUCCUACCUCUUCAUUCUAAUAUCUAAUUCGAAACAACAAAUACUUGAGCACCUAAUGGGCUCCGACCCAUACUGGUGGGUGAGGGGGGUGUGGCAGUGGGUAAGCUGCCAGCUGUUCCUCUGUGGAGGGGGCCAGGGAAACAGGGUCCUCAUCAUGCACAGCUGAGCCACACAGGUGGGCCGCAGUGGGGAGAGUCAGCUGCAGAAUUCCCAGGG